GCCAAGUGGAUAAAGGCAGU
rnacentral:tRNA from 1 species